ACUCCUACGGGAGGCAGCAGUAGGGAAUCUUCCACAAUGGACGAAAGUCUGAUGGAGCAACGCCGCGUGAGUGAAGAAGGGUUUCGGCUCGUAAAACUCUGUUGUUAAAAGAAGAACAUAUCUGAGAGUAACUGUUCAGGUAUUGACGGUAUUUAACCAGAAAGCCACGGCUAACUACGUGCCAGCAGCCGCGGUAAUACGUAGGUGGCAAGCGUUGUCCGGAUUUAUUGGGGCGUAAAGCGAGCGCAGGUCGGUUUUUAAAGUCUGAUGUGAAAGCCUUCGGCUCAACCGAAGAAGUGCAUCGGAAACUGGGAAACUUGAGUGCAGAAGAGGACAGUGGAACUCC
rnacentral:rRNA from 1 species